rnacentral:rRNA from 1 species
AAAGCUCAAAUUUAAAAUCUGGCGGUCCUUGCGGCCGUCCGAGUUGUAAUUUAGAGAAGUGUCGCCCGUGUCGGACCGUGUACAAGUCUCCUGGAACGGAGCGUCGUAGAGGGUGAGAAUCCCGUAUAUGACACGGACUACCGAUGCAUUGUGGUGUGCUCUCGAAGAGUCGAGUUGUUUGGGAAUGCAGCUCAAAAUGGGUGGUAAAUUCCAUCUAAAGCUAAAUAUAGGCGAGAGACCGAUAGCGAA